rnacentral:lncRNA from 1 species
CGGGAGGUAACCGGCGGCAGGGAGGUGGGGGCAGGUGGAGACGGCAUCGGCGACAGCCGGGAGGCAAGGGUGGAGGUGGCUAACAGUGACGGCGGGAGGUGGGGGCCAGCCGCGGGCCGGCGGCCGGAGAUGGGAGCUGGGCGACGGGGGCUGGAAGCGGAUAGGGAAGAAAGGGAGCAGAUAGGGAGCCGAUGGUGGGAGGUGAAAGAAAUAGGAAGGGAAAAUAGGGAGAGAAAUAGGAAGGGAAAAGAGAAAAAUAAAAAAAGGAAAAGGAAAGGGUAUUAUGGGUAUUUCAUUUUAUCUAACCAUUUUGAACUACAUAGAAGAGCCGUUUUACCAAACGAUUUUUCAAAAGGAGGAGCCAGAGCCGGAGAAGCCACUCCACCGGUGGAGCUAGAGCCGGAGCCAUUUUCAGAGGAGCCGGAGCCCUCCCAAACUGGCCCUUAGUCACAGUUGGUCUGAAAACUCAUGUUGAUACUGACAAGCCUUUCUGUGAGUGCAGGG